GGGCUCCUGGGAGCACAGACCCACUCGGCUGUGGAACGAUUUCGUGAGGUCUGGUUGCAGGAGUCGGAAUGACCUCCUACACAGCCCGAGAGCCCACACCGGUGACACCCUCCUGAAGGCCUUCCAGACUGCAUUCUGCACCCUGCAUGCCAGUUACAGACGGAGAGUCCCCUCGCAGUGGGGCCCGGCAAGCACCCUGGAGGUGAACGUCACCGGUACGCGCACAGUGGGACAUCGCUCAGCCGAAGGGCGGAAGGAGCUCCUGCCGUAUGCAGGGACACAG